ensembl:lncRNA
CCGAGUCCCGCGUGGGAAUGGAGGAGGGGCGGAGGGCUCGCGACACUGCUGCCCCUAGCGCGCCCCAGCCGCCCCCUAAGCAGGGCUCGAAGGAAAGGGCGCACGGGGCCCUGGGGACUAACGGAUGCUUCCCCUAGACCGCUUCCAGCUCCCUGAGCCCUCUCCCUCAAGGGAAGGGCACACUCACUGACCCUCCGGAGCCUCCAAAACAGAAGUCACUAAAACCUGCAUCUUCCUUCUCUGCCCCCCUCGCCCUCUCCCUCCUGCAGGCCCAGAGAUGCAGCUGAAUAUCCUACAGUACACUGUGGUGUUGGAGAAGACUCCUGAGAGUUCCUUGGCCUGCAAGGAGAUCCAACCAGUCCAUCCUAAAGGAAACCAGUCUUGAAUACUCAUUGGAAGGACUGAUGCUGAAGCUGAAACUCCAUACUUUGGCCACCUGAUGUGAAGAACUGACUCCUUAGAAAAGACCCUGAUGCUGGGAAAGAUCGAAGGCAGGGGGAGAAGAGGAAGACAGAGGAUGAGAUGGUUAGAUAGCAUCACCAACUCAAUGGACAUGAGUUUGAGUAAACCCUGGGAGUUGGUGAUGGACAGGGAAGCCUGGUGUGCUGCAGUCCAUGGGGUCACAGAGAGUCAGACAUGACCAAGUGACUGAACUGAAGUGAACACAGAACAGCCCCUGUGACAAAGAAUUAUCUGGCCCCGAAUUUUAAUAGUACCAAGACAGAGAAUCCCCACCCUAAAAAUAGCAGAAUUUCCCCCAAGAUCUGAGUUUAAAACAGUUAAAAUGUUUAAAGUAACUCUAAAAAGGAAAUGAUAAAUUACACAAAAAAGGAUAUUCUAAAAAAAAUUUAGAAUUUAAAAAAAGGUUAAAAUUAGAGUUUUUUAAAUAUUGAAAGAAGUAGAGACAAUUAGGGGAAAAGGACAAUGUCCAAAAACUAAUUGAACAGGCCAUGCAUAAUACAAGAGCAUAUGCUUAAAAUAAAAUGCUAAUUUAAAAUAGAUUAAAGUAAUGCGUGUGCAUGAGGUAACUCAGAAGAAACUGGUGAGAGUUACUUCCUUUCAACUUAUUUUCAUCUUUUCCAAUGCUCAGUGAACAGACUUCCCACUGAUUUCAAAGAAUAUUUUGGUUUUGCUCUAUGGAAGCUAAAAAUUAGCUUUAUGGAAGCUAAAAAUUAGUCUUUAAAAAUCAUUAACUCCUGGUCCUGUAGAUUUUGAAAUUCUUCAAAUAAAAGAACAACACGUGCAGUGCAGUGCUCAUUCACUAAGUCAUGUCUGACUCUUUGUGACCCCCAUGGAUUUUAGCCUGCCAGACUCCUCAGCCCACAGGAUUCUCCAGGCAAGAAUACUGGAGCGAGUUGCCAUUUUCUCCUCCAGGGGAUCUUCCCGACCCAGUGAUCGAACCUACAUCUCCUACAUUGGCAGGUGGAUUCUUUACCGCUGAGCCAACCGCUGGUAGACAACAGUAAACAUUUUGGUGAUAGUUACGGGAAUGAUGGGGCUUCCUUGGUUACUCAUAUGGUAAAGAAUCUGCCUGCAGUGCAGGAGACCCGAGUUCGAUCCCUGGUCAAGGAAAUGGCUACCCACUCCAGUAUUCUUGCGUCGGAAAUCCCAUGGUCAGAGGAGCCUAGCAGGCUACAGUCCAUGGGGUUCAAAAGAGUCGGACACAACUUAGCAACUAAACAACAACAAAUAAGUCAAGAUUAACAGAAACUUUAG